CUGUUCAAACUCAUAAAUCCAUGGACAAAAACAAAAUCGGGGUAACAAACUAAAACUGAGAGAAACGCAUAAAUAUGAGAGGAGAACAACGACACAACACUACAAUGUAACACACACAGAAACGGACCAAGCAUCAGACAAAAUCCCACGAGAAUAACAAAUAUAACAUCAAAACCAAAUACAUGAAUUUGGGAUAGACAAGUACCGUGACACGUCUUAUCGCAAUGUCAAUUUACACUCAAAAAUAAGAGAAAACAAACGACGCAACGUUAAAUUGUAACACACAUAGAAACGAACUAUAAUAUAACAAUGGCCAUAUUCCUGACUUAGUACAGGACAUUUUUAAAGGAAAAAUGGUGGGUUGAACCUAGUUUUGUGGCAU
rnacentral:lncRNA from 1 species